CCUGAACGCUGGCGGCGUGGCUAAGACAUGCAAGUCGAACGGAUGUAGCAAUACAUCAGUGGCGGACGGGUGAGUAAUGUAUCGCUAAUGUGCCCUAGAGCCUGGGAUAGCCAUCCGAAAGGGUGGGUAAUACCAGAUGAAAUAACUUUGUCGCAUGGCAGAGUUCUCAAAGCAGCAAUGCACUCCUGGAGUAGGCGAUAUCGAUCAGCUAGUUGGUGAGGUAACGGCUCACCAAGGCGACGACGCGUAGCCGGGCUGAGAGGUUGACCGGCCACAUUGGGACUGAGACACUGCCCAGACUCCGUACGGGGGC
rnacentral:rRNA from 1 species